ensembl:lncRNA
CCUCAAGUGCUGGGUGUGACAGUGAAGGGAGAAGCCUAUAGAGACAAGGUUCUACAGGUUGAUGAGGUGGACACAAGCCAUCCACAUAGACAUUGGAGUUACUCAGGAAGAUAGGAGGACUUCAGGAGAGGAAGAAGAACGAAGAUGCUGUGAUUGAGGGGAGUGACCAGAAGAGGGAUUUUGUAAUAGAGGAGAAGUUGAAGACAGGAGAGCUUGAGGCUUGGAGACACGAGAUCGUCUACACAGAGUACUGGCAGUGAGUGAAGAGAAUGCAAACCGCAUCUCCCAACUCUGAGGUUCAUAGAAAAUGUGAAACUUCCUCUCAAAGUGGCUCCGGGUGAAACCAUAUCUUCAGAGAAGUUUCAGUGAAGAUAGGAAGUAAAGGAAACUUCCAUGAAGACUUGAACAGUAGGGCAAUUGGUAACUCAUUGUCAACGCAAAUAACCAAUAACCACUCUAUUGGUAAGAAAGGGAGUUUUAUUUGAGCCAAGCUGAGGACUAGCCUGGGAAUGCAGCCUCCACAAAGGAAGAAAGCAUUCUGGAGAAGCAGGGUUUUCAGCAUAAUUUUCACACCUUUUCAGAACAAAGACCCUAUGUCAAACGUGCCAAGGAUACUUAUUUUUCAAAGCUUCAAGGAGAUUUUUAGUUACAGAUUAGCUUGUAUACAGCAGGUCAACAUGAGCCUGGCAUUUGGGGAAGGGAACUUAUAUUCAAAGGAGAACUGGUAUUGGCAUCAUAGGAAAGGAGGGAUCUCACCAGCCCGAGUUAAAUAAUAUUUCCAGUGAGCAUGACUUGACCCUGUGCCUGGUUACCGAGCAGUCUCUCUAAAUCUCUACUUGAUGCCUCUUGUGCGUGCUUCAGGUCACCAGUAGCACAGAAGCCCAUGUGAGUAUCCCUAGCAAACAUCAAAAAGACAUUCCAAAUAAUGUCAAAAUUUUGACUUUUUUGCUUGACUGAGAUAUUUUUGAUGUGUAGUAUUUUAAUUCAGUACUUUUCUUCAAUUUAUCAUUAAUACAAUAGUAAAGCCUGUAACUAUAAUACAGAAAGUAGGUAUAUAAUUUUACUCAGGGUCUUUAAAGCAUUUUAUUAAGUUGAAAUUAGUACCACGCAGUUGUUUUCAUCAUAGAAGGGCAAGAAAACUCUAAGAGAACCACGUCUAAUAGCCCUGACUCUAGACUUUGUGAAGCUCAGUCUGAUUUAAAUGCUUUUCAAGAUGCUACCCUGUACACAGACAAUUUAAAUGUGUGAUAAUAAUCCAGUUGUGUGUGGUUAUGCUACUACUAUGACCACGUGAUGGCACAGACACUAGGGACAAAUAUAAAAGUGGUGAUGCACAUCGGCUCAGGAGUCAGACUUCCUGGGUUCAGAUCCUGGCUGUGUCUUACUCAUUGUGUGAUGCUGAACACAUUUAGCAUCUCUGUGAAAUGGCGUGGACAGUGGUCCCCACCUCCCCGGGCUGUCAUGAGGCUUAGAGGAGAUAGUGCAUGCAUAGCACUUAGCACAGGGCCUGCAAUUCAUAAGUGCAAAGGAUUACCAGUUAAGUGGCCAAUAUUACUUAUGCAUUAUUUUUAAAAAGCAAAAUGGGACAGAAUUGUACAUUAAUUGAUGCAGAUUUUCUUUUCUAGACCAAUUCAGUAUCACAAUUUCACUAACAUUUUCUGCUAACUUUUUAUUUUGAAAAUUUUCAAACUUACAGAAAAGUUGAACGAACAGUACAAUGAAGAUCUGUGUAUGCCCUUCAUCUAAAUUUGCCAAUUAUUGAUAUGUUGCUACAUUUACUUUCUCUGUUUAUACACAAGUAUACACACACUCCCAGACAUCUAACUAAAUACAGCUUUUCUUGAAGUUCUGAAAAGUAUUUAAUCUGUCUUUAUCUAACUCUUCUCAUUUUC